UACGGGGGGGGCAAGCGUUGUUCGGAAUUACUGGGCGUAAAGGGCUCGUAGGUGGCCAACUAAGUCAGACGUGAAAUCCCCAGGCUCAACUUGGGAACUGCGUCUGAUACUGGAUGGCUUGAAUUCGGGAGAGGGAUGCAGAAUUCCAGGUGUAGCGGUGAAAUGCGUAGAUAUCUGGAGGAAUACCGGUGGCGAAGGCGGCAUCCUGGACCAUGACUGACGCUGAGGAGCGAAAGCCAGGGGAGCAAACGGG
rnacentral:rRNA from 1 species